GACCUCCAAAAGCAUAAAUAAAUGGCAAAUCGGGGCAACAGGAAGAACAGAAGAGAACUCCCUGGGAAGAAGAAAACAGAAGGGUCUCGGUAAACAUGCUAUAAUGUACUAGUGUUUCCAGUCACUUCAUCUUUUUGUCUUCAUGUCUGCAUCUCUAAGUUUACUUCCAAGUGUGAAGACUGGCUCUAAAGAGUCCACUAUAUCAAGGUCCCACACUUCAAUAACAGGAGUCAUAUUUCCCA